UACAGAGGGGGCAAGCGUUUGUUCGGAAUUAUUGGGCGUAAAGCGCGCGCAGGCGGUUCUUUUAAGUCUGAUGUGAAAGCCCACGGCUCAACCGUGGAGGGUCAUUGGAAACUGGAGAACUUGAGUACAGAAGAGGAAAGCGGAAUUCCACGUGUAGCGGUGAAAUGCGUAGAGAUGUGGAGGAACACCAGUGGCGAAGGCGGCUUUCUGGUCUGUAACUGACGCUGAGGCGCGAAAGCGUGGGGAGCAAACAGG
rnacentral:rRNA from 1 species